UAUAGAUGAGGUCAUUAAGGCACAGAGAGUUGUAUCAAUCUACCAGGAUCAUUUGGAAGAUUGAACAGUUUGACUCCAUGUGUGAAGAAGAAGGUGGAUAGAACAGAUGCCUUGCAUCUGAUGAGAUGCUUGGGAAGACUUUGGUGGGCUGGAUACUUUUCUUUUCUCAGUAAAAAUUGCAAAAUAUAUACAGGAAAGUAUUUAAAAUAUGUAUGACUUUUAGAGAAUAAUAAUAAAGUGAACAUACAUAUUACCAUUACUCAAAAUGAGAAUAAAGACUAUUGUCAUAAUCUA